rnacentral:rRNA from 1 species
AUUGAACGCUGGCGGCAGGCCUAACACAUGCAAGUCGAGCGGAUGAAGGGAGCUUGCUCCUGGAUUCAGCGGCGGACGGGUGAGUAAUGCCUAGGAAUCUGCCUGGUAGUGGGGGAUAACGUCCGGACACGGGCGCUAAUACCGCAUACGUCCUGAGGGAGAAAGUGGGGGAUCUUCGGACCUCACGCUAUCAGAUGAGCCUAGGUCGGAUUAGCUAGUUGGUGGGGUAAAGGCCUACCAAGGCGACGAUCCGUAACUGGUCUGAGAGGAUGAUCAGUCACACUGGAACUGAGACACGGUCCAGACUCCUACGGGAGGCAGCAGUGGGGAAUAUUGGACAAUGGGCGAAAGCCUGAUCCAGCCAUGCCGCGUGUGUGAAGAAGGUCUUCGGAUUGUAAAGCACUUUAAUUUGGGAGGAAGGGCAGUAAGUUAAUACCUUGCUGUUUUGACGUUACCAACAGAAUAAGCACCGGCUAACUUCGUG